UACGGGGGGGCGAAGCGUUGUUCGGAAUUACUGGGCGUAAAGGGCUCGUAGGCGGCCAACUAAGUCAGACGUGAAAUCCCCAGGCUCAACCUGGGAACUGCGUCUGAUACUGGAUGGCUUGAAUCCGGGAGAGGGAAGCGGAAUUCCGGGUGUAGCGGUGAAAUGCGUAGAUAUCCGGAGGAACACCGGUGGCGAAGGCGGCUUCCUGGACCGACACUGACGCUGAGGCGCGAAAGCUAGGGGAGCAAACGGG
rnacentral:rRNA from 1 species